CGCCUCUUGCAACACAACUAAGUAUAAGAGGUCCAGCCUGCCCAGUGACAAUAAGUUAAAUGGCCGCGGUAUUUUAACCGUGCAAAGGUAGCGUAAUCACUUGUCUUCUAAAUAAAGACCUGUAUGAAUGGCUAAACGAGGGCUUAACUGUCUCCCUUUUCAAGUCAGUGAAAUUGAUCUGCCCGUGCAGAAGCGGACAUAAAUAUACAAGACGAGAAGACCCUUUGGAGCUUAAGGUACAAAUCUUCAACCACGUCAAGCGACUCGAUAAAAAGCGACAAACUUUGUGGUAUCUGAGAUCAACCUUCGGUUGGGGCGACCAUGGAGUAAAAAAUAUCAUCCAAGUGGAAUGGGACAAACCUUCCCUAAAACCAAGAAAGACAUUUCUAAGCCACAGAAAAUCUGACCAUAAAUGAUCCGGUCAACAUGACCGAUUAACGAAUCAAGUUACCCCAGGGAUAACAGCGCAAUCCCCUCCCAGAGUCCAUAUCGACGAGGGGGUUUACGACCUCGAUGUUGGAUCAGGACAUCCUAAUGGUGCAGCCGCUAUUAAGGGUUCGUUUGUUCAACGAUUAAAGUCCU
rnacentral:rRNA from 1 species